CCUACGGGUGGCUGCAGUGAGGAAUAUUGGUCAAUGGGCGUAAGCCUGAACCAGCCAAGUCGCGUGAGGGAUGAAGGUUCUAUGGAUCGUAAACCUCUUUUAUAAGGGAAUAAAGGGUGGGACGUGUCCUGUUUUGUAUGUACCUUAUGAAUCAGGAUCGGCUAACUCCGUGCCAGCAGCCGCGGUAAUACGGAGGUUCCGAGCGUUAUCCGGAUUUAUUGGGUUUAAAGGGUGCGUAGGCGGCCUUUUAAGUCAGCGGUGAAAGUCUGUGGCUCAACCAGAGAAGUGCAGUUGAAACUGGGAGGCUUGAGUGUGUUAGAGGAAGGCGGAAUGCGUGGUGUAGCGGUGAAAUGCGUAGAUAUCACGCAGAACCCCGAUUGCGAAGGCAGCCUGCCGGGCCAUAACUGACGCUGAUGCACGAAAGCGUGGGGAGCAAACAGGAUUAGAUACCCGGGUAGUC
rnacentral:rRNA from 1 species